rnacentral:rRNA from 1 species
UCAGGAUGAACGCUGGCGGCGUGCCUAACACAUGCAAGUCGAGCGAUUCUCUUCGGAGAAGAGCGGCGGACGGGUGAGUAACGCGUGGGUAACCUGCCUCAUACACAUGGAUAACAUACCGAAAGGUAUGCUAAUACAGGAUAAUAUAAGAGAUUCACAUGGAUUUCUUAUCAAAGCUCCGGCGGUAUGAGAUGGACCCGCGUCUGAUUAGCUAGUUGGUAAGGUAACGGCUUACCAAGGCGACGAUCAGUAGCCGACCUGAGAGGGUGAUCGGCCACAUUGGAACUGAGACACGGUCCAAACUCCUACGGGAGGCAGCAGUGGGGAAUAUUGCACAAUGGGCGGAAGCCUGAUGCCAGCAACGCCGCGUGAGUGAUGAAGGCCUUCGGGUCGUAAAACUCUGUCCUCAAGGAAGAUAAUGACGGUACUUGAGGAGGAAGCCCCGGCUAACUACGUGCCAGCCGCAGC